CCUACGGGGUGCUGCAGUGGGGAAUAUUGGACAAUGGGCGAAAGCCUGAUCCAGCCAUGCCGCGUGUGUGAAGAAGGCCUUCGGGUUGUAAAGCACUUUCAGUGGGGAAGAAAGCCUUGGGGCUAAUACCCUCGAGGAAGGACAUCACCCACAGAAGAAGCACCGGCUAACUCCGUGCCAAGCAGCCGCGGUAAUACGGAGGGUGCGAGCGUUAAUCGGAAUUACUGGGCGUAAAGCGCGCGUAGGCGGUCUGAUAAGCCGGUUGUGAAAGCCCCGGGCUCAACCUGGGAACGGCAUCCGGAACUGUCAGGCUAGAGUGCAGGAGAGGAAGGUAGAAUUCCCGGUGUAGCGGUGAAAUGCGUAGAGAUCGGGAGGAAUACCAGUGGCGAAGGCGGUCUUCUGGACUGACACUGACGCUGAGGUGCGAAAGCGUGGGUAGCAAACAGGAUUAGCUACCCCAGUAGUC
rnacentral:rRNA from 1 species